rnacentral:lncRNA from 1 species
UGAAACAAUACACUGGAACUGGUAUACAGACAUUUUAUUUUUUAACAAAUUUGUUCACAAAUAUUGUUUUAUUAUUCGUAAUAAUAAUGAAAUUAAUUCUAACUAGAAAACCUGCAAGCACCAUCAAAGAAAAUAACCAUAAAAUCCAAGAAACUUGAGACUGAGUGUAUCCUACAAAUAGACACACCACAAUUAGAAAAUAGAAUUUCAAUUGUAACCUUUUUUAAAUUAAUUUUUUUUUUUAAUAUAAAAAGCUAGUGCAAGUACAAUAUUUUACACAAAUUACAGAGUAUGCACGCAUAUGGUAACAAAACAAAAGAAGAAAGGUUUUCUCUUUUCCCCGAUACCAGCUCCUAACUAUCUAAAGCCUGUACGCACUUUGUGUGGUUUCAUAUUUUACUGAGUAAGGUACAAACCAUUUUCCCCUCUCCAAAGACCUCCACUUGAUACAGGCCAGAAUCGUCCGUGUACACAUCAUGGACAUACAAUACCUAGAUUUGGCUCAACAUACUUUCACAUUGACACUUUCUAACAUGGCUCCUGCAAUAUUUCACAUACAAUUUACAAUAUUCUCAAAAAAAUACCUUGAUUUAAACAUAUUAUCAUUGGGGCCCUGAGUUUCUCCUGAAUAAGUGAUCUGACCAGAGUUUUUCCUUUUCAAAGUCACAUGGUCAGGGAAAACUCAAACCCCUAGUCAUCUUGUCUGACUCUUCCUAUAUGCAAUAUAAACAUAUAGUUCACAUAUACAGCACCAGUAAAAGGUUUGGACAUACCUACUCAUUCAAGGGUUUUUCUUUAUUUGUACUAUUUUCUACAUUGUAGAAUAAUAGUUAAGACAUCAAAACUAUGAAAUAACACAUAUGGAAUCAUGUUGUAACCAAAAAAGUGUUAAACAAAUCCAAAUAUAUUUUAUAUUUGAUUCUUCAUAGUAGCCACCCUUUGCCUUGAUGACAGUUUUGCACACUCUUCACAUAGAAAAUAGUAAACAGAAAGAAAAACCCUUCAAUGAGUAGGUCCAACCAUUAUUAUCACACUGUGGCCAAUCUAGAGUUUCUUCAUCUAUGCCUUUUUCUGCCCAGUAUCAAGUGAGAAGAAACUUAAAAACAUCCUCGUCCUCCCCAAUGGAGGAAUUAAUCUCAUUACGACAACAUCCUCAACACCUGUAUACUAGGCCCUGGGACUAGAGCUCUGUCCAACAUCCCCACUAGCACACUAUUUAGAAUGAAGCAAAGUAUUGGGCAUGUAUCUUUAGUGGUAUGCUAGUAUUGACAUGGGAACAAAGCCUAGCUACUACUGCAAUGUCUUAACAUACAUUAGACCACUCCUUCCAUUGGAAUGACCUCUGUGGCUUCUUCCUAGCCCAAAGGCCAGCAGAUGGAGACAUUGAGUCAUUUUCAUCUUACCGUCCAAACGCAUUGUAUACAGCCGGCAAUAAAUGGCUAUCCUUCGUUGACCGGUUCGUACCUGAAACAUUCUCAAUUCAGGCUGCAGAGGCUUUGGUAUCCUCUUUAACUUUAUUUAAUGGCGGGAAAAAGGGGGGAAAUAUGCAUACCAUUUUCAACCACAAUGCUUGAGUGGCUAAAUGCUAAUCCCGGAUGUUGUGUCGUGUUCAGCCAAUCAAGUUGAAACUAUCAAAACAGGGUGCUGCAUUAGCAGCAUCGCAUUAGUGGAAACCAAGACUGUUUUCAGGGCAGACCUGGUUGUAGCUAGAUGUGUUUGAAUCGAGUCAGGGACAAUUUUUCCAUUUUAGCUAACCCUAACCCUUUUCCUAACCUUAACUUAAUUACCCUAACCUGCUACGUUAAUUCUCCUAACCUGCUGCAUAUGUUCUCCUAACCUGCUAUGAAAAGUCACUUCUGCUAGUCAAAACCGGCAGACCCGCCCUGAGAACAGAGUUGGUUUCCACUAAUGCGAUAAAGUGCUGCGUUAGGUUGGGGGGGCUGCUUCCUGCAACCUGAUUGGCUGAACGUGAUACACAACAUCCGGGACUAGUGUUUAGUCACUCUAGUGGUGUAAAAUGGUCAGCAUAUUUCCCCCUUCUUUUUCUGCCUUUCACCUAAUAAAGUUAAAGAGGAAACCGAAGCCUCUGCAGCCUGAAUGGAGAAUGUUUUAGGUACGAACCAGUCCACGAGGGAUACUAAUGUAUUGUCGGCUGCAUACAAUGCGUUUGGACAGUAAGAUGUUGCCAUCUGCCGGCCUUCUUCCCGUAUCCUCGUACAAUACAUUCUGUUUACCUGUUUUGAUUCGAUCAACAAAAUUAACUGGGGGAAAAUACACAUGAAAAACAACCACAACAGCAAAAAGAACCAGGAAGUUGUAAAUGCGUGCGUAACAAGUUGUAAUGAACACCCAUUGUUUUCUCUCCCCCUCAACACCAGUUAAGAGAUGACACUGUCCAACAGGGCAGUAGUAGGGAGUAGUGUGGUGUCAUGUCACUAGGCAGACACUAGGGGUAGCUCCUGUUUCUACCAUUCCAGAACUCACUGAUACAAACUCACCUCUUUGUUUUUAUUUUAGCCCCUUUUAUCAAACAUUGUCAGUUAGGUUGAGGAGUGGGGACAUAGGGGCUUUGUAUUUUUGUGUGAAAUAUUAUAUUACAGAAGUACAAUAUCUUGUAGAGCAUUCAUUGGCAGCAUUUAAAAAAAUCAUAGGACAUUUAUUUGCCUACUUCUUUAAGAUAUUUCAAGUCUUCUUUUCUUAUUUUCUUAAGAGGUGUGUUCUUACAGAUCUCAAAUACAUACACUGACAGUUUGGAUUGCUAUAGAGGUCUGUGACAGACACAGGUUGGUGGUGAUGGAGUACAUCAUCUAUAUAACAUGAGUUGGUUGUUGGUUGGUUCUGAUUGGCUCCGUCUCUCAUCAUGUCCAAGUUUGUCUUUGCCUGCCUUGCCAGUCCUUGUGUUGUGUCUCAGCUCUCUGUGUGACUUGCAGCCUGCAAUGCGGAUGCCACUCUCCGCUUACAUCUCCACAUAUGUCCAGUUUGACCAGCAGCCAACCAAAGGUCGACGGAGAGAGUCCAACUCCCAGACAUGUCUUUAGCCACAAGGCUGUGUGUUCUGACCAGUAGACAACAUUUACUGGACCUCAGCUGACAGAAGACCCUUUUCUGGGCUUCAGAGUGUGUAGGGGUCGAAGGUGAGAAGUCAGAGAGCACAGAACAGGCCGUAUCUCUGAGUGAGUGUCUGUCAGCUGGUCGUUAUAGAUAGAGUGGGAUAAAGAUAGAUGUGCUGAAUGAUGGCCCUUCACUGCAGGACCAGGACAACCGAUGCCUCCUCACUAAACGUCCACUCUAAGAGCACAUAGCCAUCUCCAGCAUAUAGCAGUACAAUAAGAAUCCUAAUCAAAAUAAUCCAUACAAUAAAUUAUAUUUAUAUAUUUCUUAUAUAAAUAUAAUAACAAAUUAUAGUAAUAACCCAUAUCGAACAGCCCACCACACCAACAUUAAAUCGGGGGGGCACGACGAUGGCGACUUAACCAUUUUGGUUAAUGGGCGUGUUGAAGUUUUCUAUGCCUGAGUUGGUUAUCCAGCGGUACGGACAUUUAUUGACAAGACGUCAAACAACAGUCAAGUUUCAACAAAGGAAUCCUGAUUGAAAUCUGUUCAGUUUAAACACAAAAAGGUGCCAAAACCAUUCUCUUUUCUUUUUUUUUGCCAAAAAAGAAACAAAAAUAAAACAACAACAUGGCAAUAAACAAUAAAAACAACAACACAUGUCUUUUCUUCUCAAAACGCUGAAGCUCACACCAACAUUCAUUAUAUUUGUCAUUUGUGCAAGAAGUAAAUAAGCAAAUAAAAAAAAGACAACAAGGUCAGCUGUGUGUGCUCCUCCAAUGAGGAAGCUUGUCACAAAGUCACAUGAAACAUUCCCCAAACAGACGUCCAAUCACGUCUCCUGACAGAGUCGAGUGCUACAAAGGAGACUAAGACAAGGAAAAGGUCCUAUUCCGAAAAGGUAGGUAAAUAAAGAAAGCAAAAGUAUUUUAUACAAUAGGACCAAACUGAACACAAAAAAGAGGGUGCGUCCAUGAGAAAGGUACUUCCUGGUUAUAAAGUGGAACCAGGAAACCCGCCUAGCGUCUUAACUCGUUGGACCCAAGAACGUGCCGGACGCUAGGCGGGAUGGAGCCAAUAGAGGAAACACUACUGUUUACAACACGGCCAUGUGCAAAAAACUGAAUCCAAACAGUCUCCCCAUCUCGUUUGUUUGUUUGUUUGUCUCUCUCUCUCUCUCUCUCUCUCUCUCUCUCUCUCUCUCUCUCUCUCUCUCUCUCUCUCUCUCUCUCUCUCUCUCUCUCUCUCUCUCUCUCUCUCUCUCUCUCUCUCUCUCUCUAUAUAUAUAUAUAUAUUGAAUGAAUGUUAUACCUCUGGGAAAGGCCUUGGUCUGAGAUGAGGGUUUAGACAAGACCUUUCCUCUGGGUUUAGAAAGUGCUGAAACAGUAUCAAGUCUACGCCGUUAGUCGGCUACUUUAAAUGUGCAUCUUUAUUGGUUGGUUUUACAAAAGUGGUCCCCACUAAUAUAUUAGGUUAUAAUAACUCUGUCAUCUGUCUUUUCUCUCUGGACCUUAUGAGGGUUAGGGCUAGUGAUCUCAAAGUCCAUAGGAGAGAACACCACACACACGCACACACGCACGCACACACACACACGCACACACACACACACACACACACACACACACACACACACACACACACACACACACACACACACACACACACACACACACACACACACACACACACACACAC